rnacentral:rRNA from 1 species
AAUCAACGCUGGCGGCGUGCCUCAGACAUGCAAGUCGAACGAUUAAAGCUCUCUUCGGAGAGUGUAUAGAGUGGCGCACGGGUGAGUAACACGUAAGUAAUCUACCCUCGGGUGGGAAUAACAUCGGGAACCGAUGCUAAUACCGCAGUAAUAGCAGCGGCGUCCUAAUGGAGACAGUUGUUAAAGGAUUUAUUCGCCUGGGGAGGAGCUUGCGGCAGAUUAGCUAGUUGGUAAGGUAAUGGCUUACCAAGGCUACGAUCUGUAGCCGGUCUAAGA